GACGAACGCUGGCGGCGUGCUUAACACAUGCAAGUCGAACGGAAAGGCCCUGCUUUUGUGGGGUGCUCGAGUGGCGAACGGGUGAGUAACAAGUGAGUAACCUGCCCUUGACUUUGGGAUAACUUCAGGAAACUGGGGCUAAUACCGGCUAGGAGCUCCUGCUGCCUGGUGGGGGUUGGAUAGUUUCGGCGGGUGGGGAUGGACUCGCGGCUUAUCAGCUUGUUGGUGGGGUAGUGGCUUACCAAGGGUUUGACGGGUAGCCGGCCUGGGAGGGUGACCGGCCACAUUGGGACUGAGAUACGGCGCAGACUCGUACGGGAGGCAGCAGGGGGGAAUAUUGCACAGUGGGCGGGAGCGUGAUGAAGCAACGCCGCGUGCGGGAUGACGGCCUUCGGGUGGUAAACCGCUUUCGCCUGUGACGAAGCGUGAGUGACGGUAAUGGGUAAAGAAGCACCGGCUAACUACGUG
rnacentral:rRNA from 1 species